AUGGCGGACGAACGUACAGUGGUCGCGGAGCAGGAGCGGAUGUUUAAAUUGCUACAUGACUCGGACAGUGACACACCAGAGCCAGGGAGUCUGUCAGGCACAGAGGAGCCAGGGCCUCCAAAAAGGCCAAGGCGUGAUGCAAUAUUGGAGUUGCUGGAGAGGGAGGAAAAGAGGGCAGAGGAGAGAGACAGGAGAGCUGAGGCCAGGCAGGAGAGGCUGUUAAACCUUCUCGAAAAGACUGUUGAAAAAAUUUGAGAGAGAUAAAAAAAGGAGAUAUUCAUUAAUAAAAUGUUCUUUAAAAAGUUUAUGAGCACUGACUGAACUCAUAUCUAUAACAUACCAACAAUGUGUCAGAAACAAAAACUGAUAUAACAAUAAGAUGUUUACAAGGCAAAUUAUUGGUGCAUAAACAUUUAUCAGUAAUAACUAAUUAACAAAUCAUUACGAUAUCAUUUAAAACUAUUUACAAGAAGUAUAACAUAACAAUAACAAUAACCUAACCUAACCUAACUUUUUUUUUAUUUUGUUAUUUUUAGCAAUAGUCAUGUUCCUGAAGAACGGGAGGAGCUUGUCUGGUGCAGACAGCGCAGCAGCGAUAUGCCCGCACAGCUGUUCCCCAUAGUGCAGGUCCUGCUGAGGCUGCUUACCUCCAUUAUCUGGAGCCUCUUCCAGAUAUGUCCCCAUCUCUGAUGCACAGGUUAUGCAAUAUUGUACAACAGGCAAUCACCUUCACCGCAAAUGCAGGGUGCACCUUGAGAGCCUUGAAGAAGACGGCUCGCCAUCUGGUUUUCAUCAUGCCAAAGGCCCGUUCGAUGACAGAACGUGCCUUUGCAUGGUGCCGGUUAAAUCACCCAGCAACCACACCCCUCACAGGCUCUCUGUAGGGAGUUACGAGAGCGAUUGGUCGGGACAUGCAGGGGUAUCCACCAUCCCCUAGGAUGCAGUAGCCCUCAGGUGGGUACAGGCUCUGUACAUAAAGAGGGUUGUUUUUUAGGACUCUAGAGUCAUGUACAGACCCUGGAUAGCUGACAAAUAUAUCAAUAAAUUGGCACUGGCAGUCACACACAGCUUGCAAUUGGAUCAAAUGAAACAAUUUCAAAUUAAAAUAGACCUGGGCAUCUGCACCAAGUGGCUUUAUGCGGACAUGGCAGCCAUUGAUGCUUCCCACAACCCUGGCGAAUGCUGGUGAUCCAGCCAGCCGUGCAAAGCCAGCACUAAUUUCUUGCAGGUCAUCAGGGGCUGGAGAGCGGAUGACCCUGUUUUUAAUUUGUAUUAAUUUGUCAGCAACCCUGUGGAUGACAUCGUGCACAGUGGACCAUGGCAUGCCAAAUGCUCUCGACACAACGUAAUAGGAUGUCGCACUCGCCAGCCAAAAUAGGAAGACCAGAACCUCAAGGGCAUGACCCCAGCCAUGGUCAAACGGAGAGCAGAGGACGUGGACAAGAUGGGCCACUGUGGGUCUGGAGAGGUGGAAGUCUGGCCAGGGGUCACUUUGGCUAUCGAAGUACAAACUGCUGGUUCCCAGCCUGCAGUACUGAGUUGGUUGUUCAUGCUGUAAAUAAAUAAAAAAUAAAACUGAUAAUAUGGUGUCAUAAAAUGAAAUGAGCAGUAGUAAUUAUUUUUAACUUAUA
ensembl:lncRNA